rnacentral:lncRNA from 1 species
GGCCACAGAAGGAGGAGGCAGCAGAGGUUGAUCAGUUGGAGCUUCACUACGUGGUGCCGCUCCAGAAGACGAAGGCAGAUGUUGUUGGAACAAACCCACAAACCUCCGAUGAUCAAGUAAAAUUUGACCAUCGGUGUCCUGCAUUUGGUCAAUCUUCCUCUUCAUGCUGGUGGCAUAGCUGUGUGCGAGCUUGUGCAAUUCCUUAUUCUCAUGCUUGAGCCCUUUAAUCUCUUGCUUGAGACUCUGUAUUUCAGCCACCAAGGAUUCAACGUGACGGGUUCGGGCAUAUAGGCGUUGGGCCA